rnacentral:rRNA from 1 species
UACGGGGGGGGGCAAGCGUUGUUCGGAAUUACUGGGCGUAAAGGGCUCGUAGGCGGCCAACUAAGUCAGACGUGAAAUCCCUCGGCUUAACCGGGGAACUGCGUCUGAUACUGGAUGGCUUGAGUUCGGGAGAGGGAUGCGGAAUUCCAGGUGUAGCGGUGAAAUGCGUAGAUAUCGGGAGGAACACCUGUGGCGAAAGCGGCGCACUGGACCACAACUGACGCU